AGAUUCAGCUUAUAUAUUUUACUGAGGCUAGGCUGGAUGCUAACCUUGGGCAGUGGAGGAGGGGAGGAAGGAAGGCAGACUGCUGGGAAUGCACCAUACUGGUAUCUUAUAUCAUCCCAAAGGAUCACCAGAGUUUUAUGAAAGGAUUCUUUUGUAGUCCUAUUAGCAGCAAUACAAACACUCUCAGAAGCAAGAUAUAAGUCAACGGAGCAAUUUCUCAACAAGUUUUAUAAGGACAAAGGAACAGAAGUGUGGAAAGAAGCACAAUCAGAAGAAUUUAUUAAUAGGAAAUAGUCUCAGCUACUUUUUAAAGCCUCUUGUUAAAUCAAGCACAAAGUCCUUGAUGGAGGGAAGGGGAAAUAGCUGGAAGAUGGCUGAUGAUCUGCUUUAGGAUGACUCAUUCAAUAUGAGCAAUUAUGAAUCAUGAACAAACUAUCUACAGGCAGCACACAUAAGACUUAAUAUCUUCCAUGUUACUAGAUGCUUCUAAUGUUUAGCAUUAGUGUUGCUUUUUUCUUAAGAGCAGAAAGGUUCACAAUAUGGUAUUGAAGAAUCACUGAUUUAAAAGUUGCACAGAAAUGUUUGGGAUGCUAAUUACCAGUUACCAUUGCACAGGGGUUUAGCCAAUUUUUUCAGGUUCUUCUGUAUGUAACUUCAGAAUUCUUUAAAAUAACAGAGAAAAUGUUAAAAAAUGUUAAAGUUUAUCCCUGGGCAACAUAUUAUUACUCCUUGUGCAUGUGCCCAUUGCAUGUUUGAACUUUGUGAUGCACUGUUUCAGCUACAUCAGCUGCUGUAGCCAGUAGCAGGGUGUUCUACUAAAUGUUACUAGAUGGUGAAGGGACAGUGGCAGAGUGGGAGAGCAGCUCAGUAGGAUUUACAAGUGUUGCUAAUAAGAGAGAAAUUAUGAGAUUUAAAAACCUUCAGGUUUAUAAUGGCUCCAGCAUGGAGCAUCCAGUAAUGGUAAUAGGAAAGUACACACAUAUAUUUGAUUUCUAUUGCUGUUCCAAUCUCUCUUUGUUCUAGUACAAUGUACUUUGACAUCCAAGCAAUCCAUUUAAUUUCUCAGCCUAGCCUUUGUGGUUUUGCUCAGGCAGACCUUUUUUUUCCUGAUGUUGCUUUCUGGCACUAAUCCCAUAGUUUCCCAGCCAUUCUGGUACUACCUGUCUUGGUCCAGGCUCUUUUGCCUCACCCUCUACUCCCUUUUUAGUUUCUUCAUUCAGAUUUUUGCUCUACUUUGCUCUCCUGCCUCUUCAUUCACAUUCUUCUUUACUCUGGCUCCCCAUCUCCCUCCUUCAGGUCUCAUUUUCAAUCUUCACCUGGCAAUCAGCCUCGCUCACUGUCCCAGUCUACUUGUCCAGUCAGUCUUAUCUCAAAAGGCUGUAUAUGCUGGCUCUAUAUACAGGCUGAGUGGCCUAUAUUCUUGGCUGUUAUCAAACCUGCCUGAGCUGUCCUAUUACUUUCCUAUUCUCUUUACUUUUUAUUUUGAGUUCAUUUGCUGAAGGUAUCUGUUUUUGGUUGUUUCUACCUUGAAGUCAUUCUCCCCCAGUGAACUGAUUCCCAGGCCUCCAUUUUUCUUGCUAACUUCUUGUCCCUAGUUCAACCAAUCUUCCUUUUUAUUAAUCCUUGUUUCCAUUUACGAACCCAGUCUCCAUAUCACCACAUUCCUUGCUCCAGAUUUUCUUUCCUCUUUACCUCCAUACACUGCCUCGUAUUUCACCUGCAUUUAAAUCCUGCAGCUUCUUGUGACAUUUUGAGUGCCAACAGGAUAGUCUUGGAGAAGGUAGCUUAUCUUACACAGUUACUUUUCCACAAGGAUCCCUCUCCUGCUGCGUACCCAGCUCAAUUAAUACAAUUCUUAACCCAUUCCCUGAAUGCACAUGAGUUACCUCAAAUGAAGAGGGCAACUGGGAACAGGCUCCAUGAGCUUCCUGAGUGACCUCUUAUCUCAGACAAUCCUGAAGAACAUAGGAUUCAACUUUGGUGGAUGUGCUUGCAAUGCAUAUGUGAUAAAACUAGUACUUGUACUCUGAAUACAGUAAGUGUCUCAAACAUGCUCAAUUGCUUGCAUGGGAGUGGCUGAGUCGUGCAGUGUCCCUGAUACUGAAAGGAACUACCAACAAAAAUGUUGUUGUAGCACUUCUGAAAUAAAUUAUGGUUUCA